AAGGCGUGCUCGGACGCAUCCAUUUCGUUGACAAAUUGGCCUUGAGAAGACCGGGGAGGUUAUGGAGCUCUUGCACUCCAGUCCAAUGGAUCAAAUUCAUACCAAACUGAAAUUGCACAAUCCCUAAUUCAAAAAUUGGGAAUACAAGGAAUUGGACUCACCGGGAGGCAAAGAGACCCAGAAGCAGAACCUAGAGAGAGAGAUCCAAAGACAAAUGGGUGAUUUUAUUUUUGUGCUUUCGAAUUGCUUAUUAAUAUAAAUGUUGAAUUGCAUAGAUUUAGUUGGGAAAGUUUUGGAUACGAAGUUGGGGUGGAAAUCGGCUCGGGCCGAGUGCCCAUUUCUUCCAAGAUUUGGACCCGUCCUGCCCUGCUAUUAACUGGGACCCAGCCCGUCCCGCUCUGUGUUGAAUUUUAAAAUUUUGGACCCGUCCUUUACCCGUCUCAAAUCGCUUAGACCCGCCUCGAUUCGCCGGUACAGGAUCUGUUUGCCCACCCCUAAUUGCGAUUGUAUGCUCUCAUGCAUUCUGCACAUGAGCUCUUAAAUAAAGGGUACCCAAAUUAGGCAUUUAAUUAAGUGAUAAAAAUUGAGCAUAACCUAACUAGUGAAGCAAUUUUAAUAUGGAUAUGUGAAAGACACAAAGAAAAAGAUGGAUACGAAGGAAGGGCUUUGCAUCAAAUCACUCCAGAAAAGUACGUUGAAAGAUGAGAAUAUUUUAGAUUGAUUUUAUGGUCAUAUAUAUGACAAUUCAAAUCCAAAGUCUAAAUUUUGGGCUACAUUUUGUUUUAUGAAAACUGAUAAUUAUGAAUUUGUGGGCUAAAUUUUGGCUAUUACUAAUACAUACUUCUCCAAACCCCUUAAGCAAAUUCCAAGGCAAAUCCAACCGUUGCUUAGAUGAAUAACUCUGGGGUCCAAAUGAAUGGAGAAGUGAAGAGAGAUGAUCACGUGCCCAAUUUCAUUUAUGUUCACGUACCGUUCUCAUUAAAAGUCAGUCAGCUACUGGUAUUUGUGUGAUCGAGUAU
rnacentral:lncRNA from 1 species